UCUUGUUUGAAUAUACUGAAGGCAUCAGAUCCAGUCUGAUCUUGGAAGCUACACAGGGUCUGCCUUGGUUAGUACUUGGAUGGUAGACCAUCAAUUAUUGGACUAUAUUUAAAAGGAAGGCACUAGCAAGAC
rnacentral:rRNA from 11 species